GAGCUCGUAGCUCAGCUGGUAGAGCGUUUCGUUGACAUCGAAAAGGUCGAAGGUUCAAGUCCUUCCGAGCUCA
rnacentral:tRNA from 2 species